UACGAGGGGGGCGAGCGUUGUUCGGAAUUAUUGGGCGUAAAGGGUGCGUAGGCGGUUUGGUAAGUCUCUUGUGAAAUCUAUGGGCUCAACUCAUAGUCUGCAAGGGAAACUGCCGGGCUUGAGUGUGGGAGAGGUGAGUGGAAUUUCCGGUGUAGCGGUGAAAUGCGUAGAUAUCGGAAGGAAGACCAGUGGCGAAGGCGGGUCUCUGGACAGUUCCUGACGCUGAGGCACGAAGGUCAGGGGAGCAAACGGG
rnacentral:rRNA from 1 species